rnacentral:rRNA from 1 species
UGACUAUGGAACGAUAGGAGCCCCGGGGGGCCGCAGAGAAAUGGCCCAGGCGACUGUUUAGCAAAAACACAGCACUAUGCAAACCUCUAAGGGGAAGUAUAUGGUGUGACGCCUGCCCAAUGCCAAAAGGUUAAAGGGAUAUGUCAGCUGCAAAGCGAAGCAUUGAACCUAAGCCCUGGUGAAUGGCCGCCGUAACUAUAACGGUGCUAAGGUAGCGAAAUUCCUUGUCGGGUAAGUUCCGACCUGCACGAAUGGUGUAACGAUCUGGGCACUGUCUCAACGAAAGACUCGGUGAAAUUGUAGUAGCAGUGAAGAUGCUGUUUACCCGCGAAAGGACGAAAAGACCCCGUGAACCUUUACUGUACUUUGGUAUUGAUUUUUGGUUUGUUAUGUGUAGGAUAGCCAGGAGACUAGGAACACUCUUCUUCAGGAGAGUGGGAGUCAACGUUGAAAUACUGGUCUUAACAAGCUGGGAAUCUAACAUUAUUCCAUGAAUCUGGAAGAUGGACAUUGCCAGACGGGCAGUUUUACUGGGGCGGUAUCCUCCUAAAAAGUAACGGAGGAGCCCAAAGCUUAUUUCAUCGUGGUUGGCAAUCACGAGUAGAGCGUAAAGGUAUAAGAUAGGUUGACUGCAAGACCAACAAGUCGAGCAGAGACGAAAGUCGGGCUUAGUGAUCCGGCGGUGGAAAGUGGAAUCGCCGUCGCUUAACGGAUAAAAGGUACUCCGGGGAUAACAGGCUGAUCGCCACCAAGAGUUCAUAUCGACGUGGCGGUUUGGCACCUCGAUGUCGGCUCAUCGCAUCCUGGGGCUGGAGAAGGUCCCAAGGGUUUGGCUGUUCGCCAAUUAAAGCGGUACGCGAGCUGGGUUCAAAACGUCGUGAGACAGUUUGGUCUCUAUCCUUCGUGGGCGCAGGAUACUUGAGAGGAGCUGUUCCUAGUACGAGAGGACCGGAAUGGACGAACCAAUGGUGUGUCGGUUGUUUUGCCAAGAGCAUAGCCGAGUAGCUACGUUCGGAAAGGAUAAGCAUUGAAAGCAUCUAAAUGCCAAGCCUCCCUCAAGAUAAGGUAUCCCAAUGAGACUCCAUGUAGAC